rnacentral:rRNA from 1 species
UACGAAGGGGGCUAGCGUUGCUCGGAAUGACUGGGCGUAAAGGGCGCGUAGGCGGAUGGCACAGUCAGAUGUGAAAUUCCCGGGCUUAACCUGGGGGCUGCAUUUGAUACGUGUUGUCUUGAGUUCGGAAGAGGGUCGUGGAAUUCCCAGUGUAGAGGUGAAAUUCGUAGAUAUUGGGAAGAACACCGGGUGCGAAGGCGGCGACCUGGUCCGACACUGACGCUGAGGCGCGAAAGCGUGGGGAGCAAACAGG